rnacentral:SRP_RNA from 1 species
GCUGGGCGUGGUGGCGGGCGCCUGUAAUCCCAGCUACUUGGGAGGCUGAGGCAGGAGAAUCGCUUGAACCCGGGAGGUGGAGGUUGCAGUGAGCCGAGGUGGUGCCACUGCACUCCCGCCUGGGCCACAGAGCAAGACUCCGUCUCAA